GAGAUCUGUCACCUGCCACCGUGUCGCCCACCUCUGCCGGUCCCUCGCCCCCUGCAGACAGGGACCUUGGGAUUCCAGCUGUAACCCAGGAGCUUCCUGCUCUCCUUUCAGCCUUUUUUAGUUCAAGGUCAGAGUCGUGGAGCGGCCUUGGCCCUGACCCCGGCGGCCGGGGAGGUUCUGCUAUAUGGGACGGACUGUUUCCAUGAAACAGGAAUUUAAAGCAUCUUUUGGACGCUUUGUUUUACUCUUGAACGCCCUCAAAACCGCGGCUUCCACGGCCGUCUGUGCACUCGGAGCUCUGGCUCUUUAAAACGCAGCUCCCCGGCA